rnacentral:ncRNA from 1 species
UUUAACGUUUGCCACUCCCGUUGCGAGGCGGGGCCGGAAAGCCACGGUUCUUGAGAAACAACAAAAACAAGAAGGCCGGGCUGCCUCC